AAAACUUUCAACAACGGAUCUCUUGGUUCUGGCAUCGAUGAAGAACGCAGCGAAAUGCGAUAAGUAAUGCGAAUUGCAGAAUUCCGUGAGUCAUCGAAUUUUUGAACGCACAUUGCGCCCUUUGGUAUUCCGAAGGGCAUGCCUGUUCGAGCGUCAUUA
rnacentral:rRNA from 1 species